AGCAGCCGCGGUAAUUCCAGCUCCAAUAGCGUAUAUUAAAGUUGUUGCAGUUAAAAGCUCGUAGUUGAAUUUCGGGAUCAAUAUGUUGGUCGUGCCUCGGUACGUACUAGCAUAUUGGUUUCUCCUUUCUGAAGAACCAUGAUGUCAUUUAUUUGGUGUCGUGGGGAAUCAGGACUGUUACUUUGAAAAAAUUAGAGUGUUUAAAGCAGGCUCACGCUUGAAUACAUUAGCAUGGAAUAAUGAAAUAGGACGUUUGAUUCUAUUUUGUUGGUUUCUAGGAUCGACGUAAUGAUUAAUAGGGAUAGUUGGGGGCAUUAGUAUUCAAUUGUCAGAGGUGAAAUUCUUGGAUUUAUUGAAGACUAACUACUGCGAAAGCAUUUGCCAAGGAUGUUUUCAUUAAUCAAGAACGAAAGUUAGGGGAUCGAAGACGAUCAGAUACCGUCGUAGUCUUAACCAUAAACUAUGCCGACUAGGGAUCGGAUGA
rnacentral:misc_RNA from 1 species